CCGGGCAUGGUGGCUCACGCUUGUAAUCCCAGCACUUUGGGAGGCCCAGGCACUUCAAAUGAUAAUGAUGCUCUAAUUUGCAUGCAUUGUUGGAGGAGUCAUCCAGUUGCUGGCUUGAUCCCUGCUAAAAGAGCAUACCAGCUGCAAAUUGACAGAAGAAUCUGAUACACGUGAAGAUGGGGACUUGGAGGCUUUAUCUGGAGCUGCAGCUACCAGGAGCCCCCUUCUGGUCUUCUCCAAGAACUGCACCUUGGCUUCAUGGCCUUACCUUGGCACCUGGAACAUGGACUCCUUCAGUAUCUUCCAGUACCUGGAUCCACAGUGACACAGGAUGUUCGUGGUGGACAGCGAGUGUCAGACGUAGGGAUCAAAGACACACCUCCAGACCUCACUCCAUACUGGCCACCCCGACAGGAGCCUUGGAUGAGGCUGCUCAUGGCUGUAGAUGACACACCAAGGAACUAGAGCUUUUCAGAUGCCACCUGGCCACUCCUGUUCUCGGCCAUAGCAGUGUUACUUGGUACUGUC
rnacentral:lncRNA from 1 species